rnacentral:rRNA from 1 species
UGGGGAAUAUUGGACAAUGGGCGAAAGCCUGAUCCAGCCAUGCCGCGUGUGUGAAGAAGGUCUUCGGAUUGUAAAGCACUUUAAGUUGGGAGGAAGGGCAGUAAGCGAAUACCUUGCUGUUUUGACGUUACCGACAGAAUAAGCACCGGCUAACUCUGUGCCAGCAGCCGCGGUAAUAUAGAGGGUGCAAGCGUUAAUCGGAAUUACUGGGCGUAAAGCGCGCGUAGGUGGUUCGUUAAGUUGAAUGUGAAAGCCCCGGGCUCAACCUGGGAACUGCAUCCAAAACUGGCGAGCUAGAGUAGGGCAGAGGGUGGUGGAAUUUCCUGUGUAGCGGUGAAAUGCGUAGAUAGAGGAAGGAACACCAGUGGCGAAGGCGACCACCUGGGCUCAUACUGACACUGAGGUGCGAAAGCGUGGGGAGCAAACAGG